UGGGGAAUUUUGGACAAUGGGCGAAAGCCUGAUCCAGCCAUGCCGCGUGAGUGAAGAAGGCCUUCGGGUUGUAAAGCUCUUUUAGUCGGAAAGAAAAGAUCAUAAUGAACAAUUAUGAUUCAUGACGGGACCGACAGAAAAAGCACCGGCUAACUACGUGCCAGCAGCCGCGGUAAUACGUAGGGUGCGAGCGUUAAUCGGAAUUACUGGGCGUAAAGGGUGCGCAGGCGGUUUUGUAAGUCAGAUGUGAAAUCCCCGGGCUUAACCUGGGAAUUGCGUUUGAAACUGCAAGACUAGAGUGCAGCAGAGGGGAGUGGAAUUCCAUGUGUAGCAGUGAAAUGCGUAGAGAUGUGGAAGAACACCGAUGGCGAAGGCAGCUCCCUGGGUUGACACUGACGCUCAUGCACGAAAGCGUGGGGAUCAAACA
rnacentral:rRNA from 1 species